GCCUUGUGUGGUAUAGUGGUUAGCACUGUGAACCUUGAAUCCAGUGAUCCAAGUUCAAUUCUUGGUAGGUA